rnacentral:tRNA from 1 species
GGGAGAGUACGGGUCUGGUGGCCCGCGCGGUCUUCAAAAUCGUCGAGGCCGGCGCAAUCCGGCUGCUAGGUUCGAUUCCUAGCCUCUCCCGCCA